GGGGAAUAUUGCACAAUGGGCGAAAGCCUGAUGCAGCAACGCCGCGUGAGCGAUGAAGGCCUUUGGGUCGUAAAGCUCUGUCCUUGGGGAAGAAAAAAAUGACGGUACCCUUGGAGGAAGCCCCGGCUAACUACGUGCCAGCAGCCGCGGUAAUACGUAGGGGGCAAGCGUUAUCCGGAAUUAUUGGGCGUAAAGAGUGCGUAGGUGGUUUUGUAAGCGCGGGGUGAAAGGCAAUGGCUCAACUAUUGUAAGCCCUGCGAACUGUGAGACUUGAGUGCAGGAGAGGAAAGCGGAAUUCCUAGUGUAGCGGUGAAAUGCGUAGAUAUUAGGAGGAACACCAGUGGCGAAGGCGGCUUUCUGGACUGUAACUGACACUGAGGCACGAAAGCGUGGGGAGCAAACA
rnacentral:rRNA from 1 species